rnacentral:rRNA from 1 species
AAAGCGAGCGGCGGAUGGGUGAGUAACACGUGGGGAACCUGCCCCUAAGUCUGGGAUACCAUUUGGAAACAGGUGCUAAUACCGGAUAAUAAAGCAGAUCGCAUGAUCAGCUUUUGAAAGGCGGCGUAAGCUGUCGCUAAGGGAUGGCCCCGCGGUGCAUUAGCUAGUUGGUAAGGUAACGGCUUACCAAGGCGACGAUGCAUAGCCGAGUUGAGAGACUGAUCGGCCACAUUGGGACUGAGACACGGCCCAAACUCCUACGGGAGGCAGCAGUAGGGAAUCUUCCACAAUGGACGCAAGUCUGAUGGAGCAACGCCGCGUGAGUGAAGAAGGUUUUCGGAUCGUAAAGCUCUGUUGUUGGUGAAGAAGGAUAGAGGUAGUAACUGGCCUUUAUUUGACGGUAAUCAACCAGAAAGUCACGGCUAACUACGUGCCAGCAGCCGCGGUAAUACGUAGGUGGCAAGCGUUGUCCGGAUUUAUUGGGCGUAAAGCGAGCGCAGGCGGAAAAAUAAGUCUAAUGUGAAAGCCCUCGGCUUAACCGAGGAACUGCAUCGGAAACUGUUUUUUCUUGAGUUGCAGAAGAGGAGAGUGGAACUCCAUGUGUAGCGGU